CCCGCCUUAGCGUAGUCUGGAAACGCGUCCGGCUGUAGACCGGAAGAUCCCCGGUUCAAAUCCGGGAGGCGGGA
rnacentral:tRNA from 1 species